CCGGAGACGGGCUCCCCUCAGAGGGCAAAGUCGGCUUUCACUGUCUAACUGGACGGGGGAUAUGAACUCUGGAUUCUAAGAGCCCAGAGAAGCACGUGAGAAAUCUCGCACGUCUCUGUCGUGUCUCCGAGGAAAGGGCCAGGGACGCCGGCGAGCACUGGACGCGGAGGUGCACAGCGACCCCGCGGGUGGGGUCCUGCGGGUGUCUUGAGAGCCCGUCUCUCCCGGCAGCAAAGCACCUCUUCGUGGGACGCAGCGGGGCCUGCAGGGACCAGGUUAUCCCUCAACUUCAAAGCCUGCGCUCACCUUUUCAUGGGCAUGGUGUUUUCUUCUUAGUAACCUUUUCACUGCAGAGGAACGUGGGCACCGAAGAGUUCGCCAAUCAUAAAUGUACAGCUUGGUGCAUUUAGAGGAGGGGCCACACCCACGAAACCACCAUCCAGACGAAGACGCAGAACAUCGGCCGGCCUCUCCUCCCCUCCGUCAGUGACCCUCUCUCUCAAGGGGAGCCCCUCCUCUGCCUUCCACUACCAUCAGGGAGUUUUGUCUGGGUGUGGACUUUACAUCAGUGGAAACACACAGCGUCGACCCCUUUGUGUCUGGCUUCCUCAGCGCACAGUGUCUUUGUGAAGUUCACCCCGGUUACUGCCGGCAGAAGUGCGUUCUGUUUUCGUUGCCGUGUUCCGCGGCAUGACUCAUUGGGACUAUUUCUCUGUACGACUGUGCUCGGACGCUUGUGUUUCUAGCUCACGGCCCAGAUGGAUGCCGCUGCCCCCUGCACGCGUGCGCUUGUCUCCUGGUGAACACGCCCAGGCAUUUCUAGGAGAGGAGCUGCGUGGAUUCCCAACUUGGGAAGAUAGUGCCAGACAGAUUUCUAAAGUUGUGCUCACACCAACAAUCACGGAAUCUCCCUCUCUCUGCAUCGACCGGAACCCUUGAUUCUGUCAGCCCUUUUCAUCUCACCGUCCUGGCCACCAUCGUGGUUUUAAGCGUGCGUUUCCACGGUGACUGAUGAUGCGUUCUUCACGUGUUCAUUUACCACGUGGUGGGGUCCUUUGCACGUCUUUCGCCCAUUAGGAAACCGAGUCGUCCCUGCGCACCGAGGACAGCGGCUUCCUCCACCGUUGCCCAGGCUGUGGAGCAACGAAGAUGUCCUGAAGCAGGUGGACAGGUAAAUGGACGGGGGCGCAGCUGGAUGGCGGUUACGUGGCCCUAGAAAGAGACCGUGAAAACACGGGGGGCGGGGGCGGGGAACUUGAAUGCAGAUUACUCGGUGACAGAAGUAAACCCAAAAAGGCUACACGCUGUGUGAUCCCAACGGGGACCUUCUGGAAAAGGCAGAAUUACAGAGAUGGUGGAGUGAUCAGUGCUUACGAGGGGCGGAGGAAGGAGGAGGGAUGAACGGGCGGAGCCCGGAGGGUUCCCAGGGCAGCGAGGCCACCCUGAGUGAUGCCACACUGACGGAUGCACGUCAUUACACCUGUGCCCGAACCCACAGAGUGCCCAACAGCCGGAGCGAGCCCUCGUGUCAGUGACGGGCUUUGGGCGAUUGUGACGUGUCAGUGCAGGUUCAUGGAUCGUGACCAGUGUCCCACUGUGGUGCGAGGUCGGUAAGGGACCAGCGUUGUGUGUGGGGGGGCAGGGGGCCAUCUGGGAAAUCUCUGCACAUCUGUUCAAUUUUGCUGUGAACCUAAGGCUGCUCACAAAAUAAAGCCUGUUAAUCAAAAAUACGACAUUUAGAGAAGAAGCGAGAAACAAAAUAACGCAUUCAUAUGAUUUCAUUUAUAGACAAUUACUUUAUAGAACUUAUCGAGAUGUUCGUUGUGGUCUGAUACGCAAUUGUGUUUAAAUUUUUUUAAUGUUUAUUUUUGAGAGAGAGAGAGAGAGACAGAGAGAGACAGAGCACGAGCAGGGAAAGGGCAGAGAGAGAGGGAGACACAGAACCCGAAGCAGGCUCCAGGCCCCGAGCUGUCAGCCCAGAGCCCGACGCGGGCCUCGAACCCACGGAUCGUGAGACCGUGACCUGAGCUGAAGUCGGACGCUUACCUGACAGAGCCACCCAGGCGCCCCGUGUGAUUGUAUUUACAAAGCAUGUGGGUGCUGGAGAGGACCGUGUACCCACCGGAGCAGAAAGACAUUGUACAGGUGAAAACAUUCGUAACAUUGUAAAGUUUCAUGUGCUUGCACGCGUGUUUUCAGUUACAUUAAAUACCGUUAGUGAAAUCUUUAACAUUUUUGUGUGCCCAAAGGGUUUUUCUGGACAAAAUUCAAGCACAAGGGAGUCUCUUGUUUUGUUUCAAUCACCUGUACUUGCCGGGCAGAACCCUGCCUCCUGAGGGCCCCUCCCCACCCAGAGCCUCUGCUGUGUCUGCAGCGCGGGUGGCGGUCCCUGUGUCCACACGUGAGUCCGGGGGCGCUGGGCCUGGGAAUCUGCAUGUGCUCCGGGAGAGGCCCGGGAUCUCCCCCCACGGCUGUGGGCCAGCUCAGCUCCCUGGGGCGUUGCCAUGACCCCUGCCCGGGGCGCACCUCUGCCAGGACCCCUGUGUCCAGCCGGCAGGAACCUGCUGUCACGCCAGGGACGUCGAGGGACCGCGGGGCUGAAUCGGGGUCGAGAUGCUCGGCUCCCUGGCCGGGGCUUUUGACAAAGGCUAAGCUCCCCCAGAGGGGCCGUGCUCCCUGGUG
rnacentral:lncRNA from 1 species